rnacentral:rRNA from 1 species
AUUGAACGCUGGCGGCAGGCCUAACACAUGCAAGUCGAGCGGAUGAAGAGAGCUUGCUCUCUGAUUUAGCGGCGGACGGGUGAGUAAUGCCUAGGAAUCUGCCUGGUAGUGGGGGAUAACGUUCCGAAAGGAACGCUAAUACCGCAUACGUCCUACGGGAGAAAGCAGGGGACCUUCGGGCCUUGCGCUAUCAGAUGAGCCUAGGUCGGAUUAGCUAGUUGGUGAGGUAAUGGCUCACCAAGGCUACGAUCCAUAACUGGUCUGAGAGGAUGAUCAGUCACACUGGAACGGGGACACGGUCCAGACUCCUACGGGAGGCAGCAGUGGGGAAUAUUGGACAAUGGGCGAAAGCCUGAUCCAGCCAUGCCGCGUGUGUGAAGAAGGUCUUCGGAUUGUAAAGCACUUUAAGUUGGGAGGAAGGGCAGUAAGUUAAUACCUUGCUGUUUUGACGUUACCGACAGAAUAAGCACCGGCUAACUUCGUGCCAGCCGCCGCCGUAAUAC